rnacentral:rRNA from 1 species
UUUAGCACGGGAAUAAUGGAAUAGGACUUUGGUCCUUGUUUGUUGGUUCACAAACCAAAGUAAUGAUUGAUAGGGGCAGUUGGGGGCCAUUUGUACUGGCGCAGGAGAGGUGAAAUUUGCAGAGUGCGCUAAGACAAACUGAUGCGAAAGCGUCUGGCAAGGAUGUUUUCAUUGAUCAAGAACGAAAGCUGGGCUAUCGAAGACGAUUAGACACCGUGGUAGUCCCAUGCCAUAAACUAUGCCGACUAGGGAUUGGAGAUAGAACUUCAUAAUGACUUCUUCAGCACCUUACGAGAAAUCAAAGUUUUUGUGUUCUGGGGAGAGUAUGGUUGCAAGGCUGAAACUUAAAGGAAUUGACGGAAGGGCACCACCAGGGGUGGAGCUUGCCGCUUAAUUUGAUUCAACACGGGGAAACUUACCAGGUCCGGACUCAGGAAGGAUUGACAAGCUUAAAGACUUUUCUUGAUUCUGAGGGUGGUGGUGCAUGGCCGUUCUUAGUUGGUGGAGUGAUUUGUCAGGUUGAUUCCGUUAACGAACGAGAUCCCAGCCUACUAAAUAGUUUGAUUAUUCUUUGAAUAUUUAAACUUCUUAGAGGGACUGCCAGAUUAAACUGGAGGAAGGUUGGGGCAAUAACAGGUCCGUGAUGCCCUUUAGAUGUUCUGGGCCGCAAGCGUGCUACAAUGAUGUCUUCAACAAGUAUAUUAUCCUACACCGAGAGGUGGUUGGGCAAUCUUUUUAAAAGACAUCGUACUGGGGAUAGGGCAUUGCCAUA